ensembl:lncRNA novel protein
UUUUGUAGAGAUGGGGUUUUGCCAUGUUGCCUGGGCUGAUUGUGAACUUCUAGGCUCAAGCCAUCUGCCUGCCUUGGCCUCCUAGGAUUACAGGGAGGAUCUGUGGAGCAGCAGCAUUGGAAUUACCUGAGACCUUAUGAGAAAUGCAGACUACCGGGCUCCACUUCAUUCUUAGUGAGUCACAAGACUCACUAAGAUCUUAACAAGAUCCUCAGAUAACUGGAGGUUUGUGCAGCUAAAAUAUCUGACUCCUAAAAUGGAGUUUCCUGAAAUUAUUCCUUACUCAUAGUGUAAUGAGGUGUACGUGUUGGAUCUAUUAUAACUUUCUUUCACUCCAUCUCUCAGAAUAGAUGAUCAUCCUCAUCUUUGCAUCAUAUUCCAAUUAGAAAGGGAUGAUACAACAAGAAAGCUCUCGUAAGAUGUCAGCUGCUUGAUUUUGGACUUCGCAAACUCUAGAACUUUUCUCUUGCUUGCUCCUGCCAUGUAAGAAGUGCCUUUCGUUUCCGGCCAUGAUUCUGAGGCCUCCCCAGCUGUGUGGAACUAAAUUAUAUGUUCAUUCCAAGGAGUUAAGUCUCAACUGACCAUGGAAAGAAUAUGGCAGAUAUAACAGCACGUAAUUUCCAAGGCAAGGUCAUAAAAGACAUUGUAGCUUCUGCCUUGUCCCUUCCUCUUGGAUCUCUUGCUAUGGAGUAGCAGCCCCAUGAAGACACCCGUGGUGGAAGAUCACUGAGGACUCCUGCCAACAGCCACCCAGUGACUGAGGCCUCUUGCAGAAAUCCAUAUGAGUGGGCCAGCUGACAAGAAAAUCUUCCAGCUCUAGUCAAGCCUUCAGGUGAGCAAUGAGACUUAUGGAAACAAAUCUGCCUAAUGCCAUUUAGCUAGUAAACACAAAGAGAAGUCCAGAACCUAGCCCUCUUUGACCUCUCUGUCCACACUCUCAGCUACUAGAGGAUGGAGACUGGCAGGAGAAAAGCAGAAGGUUCUGGAGUCCAGAAAUUGUGAGCAUAUCAGCAUUAAGUACCACUGAGGUGGCAAUGCACACUUCAACUUCUUCUUCAGUCACAAAGAGUUACAUCUCAUCACAGACAAAUGAUACGCACAAACGGGACACAUAUGCAGCCACUCCUAGAGCUCAUGAAGUUUCAGAAAUUUCUGUUAGAACUGUUUACCCUCCAGAAGAGGAAACCGGAGAAAGGGUACAACUUGCCCAUCAUUUCUCUGAACCAGAGAUAACACUCAUUAUUUUUGGGGUGAUGGCUGGUGUUAUUGGAACGAUCCUCUUAAUUUCUUACGGUAUUCGCCGACUGAUAAAGAAAAGCCCAUCUGAUGUAAAACCUCUCCCCUCACCUGACACAGACGUGCCUUUAAGUUCUGUUGAAAUAGAAAAUCCAGAGACAAGUGAUCAAUGAGAAUCUGUUCACCAAACCAAAUGUGGAAAGAACACAAAGAAGACAUAAGACUUCAGUCAAGUGAAAAAUUAACAUGUGGACUGGACACUCCAAUAAAUUAUAUACCUGCCUAAGUUGUACAAUUUCAGAAUGCAAUUUUCAUUAUAAUGAGUUCCAGUGACUCAAUGAUGGGGAAAAAAAUCUCUGCUCAUUAAUAUUUCAAGAUAAAGAACAAAUGUUUCCUUGAAUGCUUGCUUUUGUGUGUUAGCAUAAUUUUUAGAAUUGUUUGAGAAUUCUGAUCCAAAACUUUAGUUGAAUUCAUCUACGUUUGUUUAAUAUUAACUUAACCUAUUCUAUUGUAUUAUAAUGAUGAUUC